rnacentral:rRNA from 1 species
AUUGAACGCUGGCGGCAUGCCUUACACAUGCAAGUCGAACGGCAGCACGGGAGCAAUCCUGGUGGCGAGUGGCGAACGGGUGAGUAAUAUAUCGGAACGUGCCCAGUCGUGGGGGAUAACGUAGCGAAAGCUACGCUAAUACCGCAUACGAUCUAUGGAUGAAAGCGGGGGAUCGCAAGACCUCGCGCGAUUGGAGCGGCCGAUAUCAGAUUAGGUAGUUGGUGAGGUAAAGGCUCACCAAGCCGACGAUCUGUAGCUGGUCUGAGAGGACGACCAGCCACACUGGGACUGAGACACGGCCCAGACUCCUACGGGAGGCAGCAGUGGGGAAUUUUGGACAAUGGGCGCAAGCCUGAUCCAGCAAUGCCGCGUGCAGGAUGAAGGG